CCUUGCAUUCAAAAGUGGUUGGGGGCUACCCAUGCCCUGGUCAUUGAUACUGCUGGGAGAGGAUGUGGAAAACUUUUUCCUGUGUUUGGAAGGUCCACUCCUGUCCUUGUCAGACCCUGGUGCUUUUCUACA
ensembl:snoRNA SNORA71 Small nucleolar RNA SNORA71